GAUGAACGCUGGCGGCGUGCCUAAUACAUGCAAGUCGAGCGAACAGACGAGGAGCUUGCUCCUUUGACGUUAGCGGCGGACGGGUGAGUAACACGUGGAUAACCUACCUAUAAUACUGGGAUAACUUCGGGAAACCGGAGCUAAUACCGGAUAAUAUAUUGAACCGCAUGGUUCAAUAGUGAAAGACGGUUUUGCUGUCACUUAUAGAUGGAUCCGCGCCGCAUUAGCUAGUUGGUAAGGUAACGGCUUACCAAGGCAACGAUGCGUAGCCGACCUGAGAGGGUGAUCGGCCACACUGGAACUGAGACACGGUCCAGACUCCUACGGGAGGCAGCAGUAGGGAAUCUUCCGCAAUGGGCGAAAGCCUGACGGAGCAACGCCGCGUGAGUGAUGAAGGUCUUCGGAUCGUAAAACUCUGUUAUUAGGGAAGAACAAAUGUGUAAGUAACUAUGCACGUCUUGACGGUACCUAAUCAGAAAGCCACGGCUAACUACGUG
rnacentral:rRNA from 1 species